UACAGAGGUCCCAAGCGUUGUUCGGAUUCAUUGGGCGUAAAGGGUGCGUAGGCGGCGCGGUAAGUCGGGUGUGAAAUCUCGGAGCUUAACUCCGAAACUGCAUCGGAUACUAUUCGGCUAGAGGAAUGGAGGGGAGACUGGAAUACUUGGUGUAGCAGUGAAAUGCGUAGAUAUCAAGUGGAACACCAGUGGCGAAGGCGAGUCUCUGGACAUUUCCUGACGCUGAGGCACGAAAGCCAGGGGAGCAAACGGG
rnacentral:rRNA from 1 species